CCUGUGUCCAGCUUCUGAGACUGAAGACCUCAUGCCAGAGAUUGGGCUAACAAGGACAUUCUUCCCCCUUAUGAUUAGAUGGGUCUCCUUUAGAAUGCAGGGCAGUGAGACAAUGUGCUUUGCUCUUGCCUUGCUUUAAACUUCUAGUCUCUCUCACAGCUAAAAAUCCGAAGGGUUUUGCUUCACUCCAGAAGUGAUAACAGUGUUCAGCGCCAAUGCUGGACAGGUAGGCUAUCUGCCUGCACGAGGAAUCCUCCUGUCCAUCUGCCUCCCCUGUUGGCACAUGGAGGGCAUGGGCUUAUCCUAGACACAAACCCCUGGCAGGUGUGAUGGUCGGACCUGGUUUUGGUAUCUCUCCUCUGGAGGUGUCCUUGUUCAUCUCUUCCCUCUUAAGUGAGAUGACCUAAAAGGAAGCAUCCUCCUAGCACUGACCACCUUGAGCCAUGUUUAUGUUCAAGCAUCUGUAUUCUUCACACACUGUGGACUUCUCAAGGAUGGAGGCAAGCAACUGGAAGCAUCUUUGCACCCUAUAGGUGAUCAGUGUUGGAGACAGAGAGGAAAAGAGACAGAAGACAGAGAAUAGAGAUGGAAGGCAGCAGCAAGGGAGUGUCCCUAAGGAUCAGAAGAAAUAAAAUGGAACGGUUUUCACAGCCUUUAAGUAUUUGAGUGAAACUGAGCUGUAACAAACACAUAUUAUAAAAAUACAUGACAUAAUUGCCUCCUUCCUGAACCAUAUCCUACACACACUGAAAUUCAUGCCCCUAUAAGGCAGAGGAUAGGUUAGCUAUGAAACCUGGAACUGGAGUCAGCUCCAACAUCCCAGCCAGACAACAGGUCAUCUUCCCCACCCUACCCCAGGGUAGGCCUUCCCUGAAGCCAGCUUCCCAUUCUACACAGAGAUGGCCAGUCAGAAAUAAUAG
rnacentral:lncRNA from 10 species